GAUGAAGAACGUAGCGAAAUGCGAUAAGUAGUGUGAAUUGCAGAUUUCAGUGAAUCAUCGAAUCUUUGAACGCACAUUGCGCCCCAUGGUAUUCCGUGGGGCAUGCCUGUUCGAGCGUCAUUUACCCCCUCAAGCUCCGCUUGGUGUUGGGCGUCUGUCCCGCUUCGCGCGCGGACUCGCCCCAAAGGUAUUGGCAGCGGUCGUGCCAGCUUCUCGCGCAGCACAUUGCGCUUCUCGAGGCACCGGUGGGCCCGCGUCCAUCAAGCUCACCCCCCCAGUUUGACCUCGGAUCAGGUAGGGAUACCCGCUGAACUUAAGCAUAUCAAUAAGCGGAGGA
rnacentral:misc_RNA from 1 species